GCCGAGGUCGCUUCCGGUUGAUCCUGCCGGACCCGACUGCUAUUGGGGUGAGGCUAAGCCAUGCGAGUCAGCGCUUCUAACCAUGAUGAGGCGCGGCAUACGGCUCAGUAACAUGUGGUCAAUCUACCCUCAGGACGGGGACACCCUCGGGAAACUGAGGCUGAUCCCAGAUAGAUAAUGGAUCCUGGAAUGGUUCUUUAUCCAAAUGAUACGGAGCUCAUGUGUUUCGUGUCGCCUGAGGAUGAGACCGCACCCUAUCAGGUAGUUGGUGGGGUAACGGCCCACCAAGCCUAUAACGGGUACGGGCCCUGAGAGGGGGAGCCCGGAGAUGGGUACUGAGACAAGGACCCAGGCCCUACGGGGCGCAGCAGGCGCGAGACCUCUGCAAUGCGCGAAAGCGCGACAGGGCCACCCCGAGUGCUAGACGCUGAGUCUAGCUUUUCCUUAGUGUAGUAAGCUAGGGGAAUAAGCGGGGGGCAAGCCUGGUGUCAGCCGCCGCGGUAAUACCAGCUCCGCGAGUGGUCGGGACGAUUAUUGGGCCUAAAGCGUCCGUAGCCGGCCUAGCAAGUCUCUGGUUAAACUUCAGGGCUUAACCUUGAGAUUGCUGGAGAUACUGCUAGGCUAGGGGGCGGGAGAGGUUGAGGGUACUUCACGGGUAGGGGCGAAAUCCUAUAAUCCGUGAAGGACCACCAGUGGCGAAGGCGCUCAACUGGAACGCGCCCGACGGUGAGGGACGAAAGCCAGGGGAGCAAAGGGGAUUAGAUACCCCCGUAGUCCUGGCUGUAAACGAUGCGGGCUAGGUGUUGGGUUGGCUUCGUGCCAACUCGGUGCCGCAGUGAAGGCGAUAAGCCCGCCGCCUGGGAAGUACGGCUGCAAGGCUGAAACUUAAAGGAAUUGGCGGGGGAGCACCACAAGGGGUGAAGCCUGCGGCUUAAUUGGAUUCAACGCCGGA
rnacentral:rRNA from 1 species